AGCGAACGCUGGCGGCAGGCCUAACACAUGCAAGUCGAACGAAGCCUUCGGGCUUAGUGGCGGACGGGUGAGUAACACGUGGGAACGUACCUUUUGGUUCGGAAUAACGCAGAGAAAUUUGCGCUAAUACCGAAUGUGCCCUUAGGGGGAAAGAUUUAUCGCCAUUAGAGCGGCCCGCGUUGGAUUAGGUAGUUGGUGUGGUAAAGGCGCACCAAGCCUACGAUCCAUAGCUGGUCUGAGAGGAUGAUCAGCCACACUGGGACUGAGACACGGCCCAGACUCCUACGGGAGGCAGCAGUGGGGAAUCUUGCGCAAUGGGCGAAAGCCUGACGCAGCCAUGCCGCGUGAAUGAUGAAGGUCUUAGGAUUGUAAAAUUCUUUUACCAGGGACGAUAAUGACGGUACCUGGAGAAAAAGCCCCGGCUAACUUCGUG
rnacentral:rRNA from 1 species